CCUACGGGAGGCAGCAGUGGGGAAUAUUGCACAAUGGGCGAAAGCCUGAUGCAGCGACGCCGCGUGGGGGAUGAAGGCCUUCGGGUUGUAAACCUCUUUCAGCAGGGAAGAAGCGAGAGUGACGGUACCUGCAGAAGAAGCACCGGCUAACUACGUGCCAGCAGCCGCGGUAAUACGUAGGGUGCAAGCGUUGUCCGGAAUUAUUGGGCGUAAAGAGCUCGUAGGCGGUCUGUCGCGUCGGAUGUGAAAACCCAGGGCUCAACCCUGGGCCUGCAUUCGAUACGGGCAGACUAGAAUUCGGUAGGGGAGACUGGAAUUCCUGGUGUAGCGGUAAAAUGCGCAGAUAUCAGGAGGAACACCGGUGGCGAAGGCGGGUCUCUGGGCCGAUAUUGACGCUGAGGAGCGAAAGCGUGGGGAGCGAACAGGAUUAGAUACCCUGGUAGUCCACGCCGUAAACGUUGGGCGCUAGGUGUGGGGAACAUUCCACGUUCUCCGUGCCGCAGCUAACGCAUUAAGCGCCCCGCCUGGGGAGUACGGCCGCAAGGCUAAAACUCAAAGGAAUUGACGGGGGCCCGCACAAGCGGCGGAGCAUGUGGCUUAAUUCGACGCAACGCGAAGAACCUUAC
rnacentral:rRNA from 1 species